ACCUGGCUGGCUCAGUUGGUAGAGCAUGUCACUCUUGAUCUCAAGGUUGUGGGUUCAAGCCCCACGUUGGGUA
rfam:Mustela putorius furo unplaced genomic scaffold scaffold00080, whole genome shotgun sequence.